UCAUUGUUUUGUUUUAGUGACAGUUUUUUUCUCUCAUUGAACCUACAUCGGGCACAAAGUCACGACAAUAAAAGAAGAAUGGUUUGUGAAGAAUUAGAUGAUGUGUUUGGAAAUGUGAAUCAACAGAGACCUGUUGUUAGAUCUCAAAUUAUCAGACCUCCGGGUAAGAGAGGACCACCUGGAAUGGAGCGGGAGAAAGAAGAUGUUGGCAGUAAAGGUCAAAAGGGACUACCAGGACCAUUAGGAAUAAAAGGUUCUAUAGGCGCUCCUGGUGUAGCUGACAAAGAUGAACUCAGAAAAAUACAAAGUGAAUCGCCGACGUUGAUAUUCUAGCAAAGAGUUCUAGCAGAAAGCUAAAAGAUUUAGAAGACAAAAAGAAUUUUGUUAUCUGACGGAAGAAGUGCUCCAUACGCACACUGGCACCCAGAUAGACCAUUCAAUCAUACAAGAGCUUACAUUUUCAUCAACGUUAAGUCGGAUCCGAGUAGCAUAAAUCAAGGGAUGCUGGAUGGAACUCAUACUUUCAAGGAAUCUGGAGUUUUGUGUGAAAUGUGAAUUGUUCCAAAAUGAAAAAAAAAAAACAGUGAAAACCCGUCAAAAAAUACCAAAAACCUUUCAAAAACGUACAAAACCCAUGAAAACUCAAACAGCCUUGCAAAAACAGUGGAAACCGUGAAAAAAGUCGGAUUCGUAGGGCUUUAGAUAUCGAACACACUAGAUUUAUAAUUGCACGAAUUCAAGUUGCAAUAUGGUUUAUUUUAAUCUGGGAUAAUUCCAAUAAUUUAAUUAAAAAGACUAUAAAAUCUACCGUCAUUUUAUUGUUAUUUGCAAGUAAUCAGUAGUA